AUGGGUAAGAAACUCAGGUGCACCUGCACAAUCAACUGGGAUGUGAUCAACUUGCCGUAGAUCGACAGUGAGGAAAUGGAUCUCCCAUUCUCUGAGGAGGAGGCCUGGCAAGCAAUCAAGCAAACGCCAACGGAUUGCGCCCCGGGUCCGGAUGGCUUCUCGGGGAUAUUCUACCAAAGCUGCUAGUCUACUAUCAAACAUGAUCUCCUCGAUGCUCUAAAUCAGUUCUACCACAUGAACUACUCAAACUUAGGGAUCCUGAACUCUGCAAACGUAGUGCUUCUACCCAAGCUUGCCGAGGCCUCCGAAAUCGGACAGUUCAGACCAAUCAGUUUGGUGCACUCUUUUGCAAAGCUCAUUGCUAAGAUCAUGUCCAUCAGACUUGCACCUAAGAUGGCCAACAUCAUAUCUCCUGCCCAGCGUGCCUUCCUCAAAAAUAUAUGCAUCCAUGACAGCUACCUCUUCAUCAGGAACGCCUCCCGCAGUUUCCAUAGAAAGAAGAAGCAGAUGCUGCAGUUUAAGCUGGACAUCACCAAGGCCUUCGACUCGAUCUCGUGGGAAUACCUACUGGAGUUGCUAUUAAAUUUAGGCUUCUCGCUCGGGUGGCGCAACUGGAUCUCCGUUCUCUUGGCCACAUCGUCCUCUGCGGUCCUCCUCAAUGGAAUCCCAUGCCCAAUAAUUGCUUGGGCUGGAGUAGUGUGA
rnacentral:rRNA from 1 species